rnacentral:rRNA from 1 species
UACGAAGGUGGCAAGCGUUGUUCGGAUUUACUGGGCGUACAGGGAGCGUAGGCGGUUGGAUAAGCCCUCCGUGAAAUCUCCAGGCUUAACCUGGAAAGUGCAGAGGGGACUGUUCAGCUAGAGGAUGGGAGAGGAGCGCGGAAUUCCAGGUGUAGCGGUGAAAUGCGUAGAUAUCUGGAGGAAUACCGGUGGCGAAGGCGGCAUCCUGGACCGACAUUGACGCUGAUGAGCGAAAGCCAGGGGAGCAAACGGG